rnacentral:rRNA from 1 species
UACAGAGGUCCCAAGCGUUGUUCGGAUUCACUGGGCGUAAAGGGUGCGUAGGUGGCCGGGUAAGUCUGACAUGAAAUCUCCGAGCCUAACUCGGAAACUGCAUCGGAUACUAUCCGGCUUGAGGGUUGGAGGGGGGACUGGAAUACUUGGUGUAGCAGUGAAAUGCGUAGAUAUCAAGUGGAACACCAGUGGCGAAGGCGGCUCACUGGCCCGAUACUGACGCUGAGGCACGAAAGCGUGGGGAGCAAACAGG